rnacentral:pre_miRNA from 1 species
UAAAUACUCCCUCCGUUCCAAAAUAGAUGACUCAACUUUGUACUAAAGUUAGUUCAAUGUUGAGUCAUCUAUUUUGGAACGGAGGGAGUAGAAG